rnacentral:rRNA from 1 species
GAUGAACGCUGGCGGCGUGCCUAAUACAAGCAAGUCGAGCGAACGGACGAGAAGCUUGCUUCUCUGAUGUUAGCGGCGGACGGGUGAGUAACACGUGGAUAACCUACCUAUAAGACUGGGAUAACUUCGGGAAACCGGAGCUAAUACCGGAUAAUAUUUUGAACCGCAUGGUUCAAAAGUGAAAGACGGUCUUGCUGUCACUUAUAGAUGGAUCCGCGCUGCAUUAGCUAGUUGGUAAGGUAACGGCUUACCAAGGCAACGAUGCAUAGCCGACCUGAGAGGGUGAUCGGCCACACUGGAACUGAGACACGGUCCAGACUCCUACGGGAGGCAGCAGUAGGGAAUCUUCCGCAAAGGGCGAAAGCCUGACGGAGCAACGCCGCGUGAGUGAUGAAGGUCUUCGGAUCGUAAAACUCUGUUAUUAGGGAAGAACAUAUGUGUAAGUAACUGUGCACAUCUUGACGGUACCUAAUCAGAAAGCCACGGCUAACUACGUG